rnacentral:rRNA from 1 species
AAAUUUGAAAUCUGACCCUUUCAGGGUCCGAGUUGUAAUUUGUAGAGAGUGUUUCGGGUGAGACCACGGUCUAAGUCCAUUGGAACAUGGCGUCAUAGAGGGUGAGAAUCCCGUAUGUGACUGUGUCUCGAGCCCAUGUGAAGCCUCUUCGACGAGUCGAGUUGUUUGGGAAUGCAGCUCAAAAUGGGUGGUAAAUUUCAUCUAAAGCUAAAUACUGGCUGGAGACCGAUAGCGCACAAGUAGAGUGAUCGAAAGAUGAAAAGCACUUUGGAAAGAGAGUCAAACAGUACGUGAAAUUGUUGAAAGGGAAGCGCUUGCAACCAGACCUGUCCGUAGGUGAUCAGCCGCUGUUCUCAGUGGUGCACUCGCUCUACGAUCAGGCCAGCAUCGGUUCUGGCGGUCGGAUAAAGGCCUUGGGAAUGUAGCUCCUCCCGGGGAGUCUUAUAGCCCUCGGUGCAAUGCGACCAGCUGGGACCGAGGACCGCGCUUUUGCUAGGAUGCUGGCGUAAUGGUUGU